AUACGGAGGGGGUUAGCGUUGUUGGGAAUUACUGGGCGUAAAGCGCACGUAGGCGGAUUAAAAAGUUAGAGGAGAAAUCCCAGGGCUUAACCCUGGAACUGCCUUUAAAACUAGUAGUCUAGAGUUCGAGAGAGGUGAGUGGAAUUCCAAGUGUAGAGGUGAAAUUCGUAGAUAUUUGGAGGAACACCAGUGGCGAAGGCGGCUCACUGGCUCGAUACUGACGCUGAGGUGCGAAAGCGUGGGGAGCAAACAGGAUUAGAUACCCCAGUAGUCC
rnacentral:rRNA from 1 species